UCCGUCGUGAGGCGGAAUCUGAAGGAAGCUGGAGGCAAACACUCGCACUGACGAACAGGAAUCUCAUAAGAAGGCUGAAUUGGGACGGACGAGCUUGCAAAACAAAGCAAAGUCCAAUACUGCCCGAAUCCCAUACAGUAAAUGAGGCGGUGACGUGAGUGGAAAGUUAUCGCA
rfam:Tetragenococcus halophilus NBRC 12172 DNA, complete genome.